rnacentral:rRNA from 1 species
ACCAGACUCCUACGGGAGGCAGCAGUGGGGAAUAUUGCACAAUGGGGGAAACCCUGAUGCAGCGACGCCGCGUGUGGGAAGACGGUCCUCUGGAUUGUAAACCACUGUCCCCAGGGACGAAAAUGACGGUACCUGGGGAGGAAGCUCCGGCUAACUACGUGCCAGCAGCCGCGGUAAUACGUAGGGAGCGAGCGUUGUCCGGAAUUACUGGGUGUAAAGGGAGCGUAGGCGGGGAUGCAAGUUGGGUGUCAAAACUACCGGCUCAACUGGUAGUCGCACUCAAAACUGCAGCUCUUGAGUGAAGUAGAGGCAGGCGGAAUUCCCAGUGUAGCGGUGAAAUGCGUAGAUAUAUGGAAGAACACCAGUGGCGAAAGCGGCUCUCUGGUCUGUAACUGACGCUGAGGUUCGAAAGCGUGGGUAGCAAACAGGAUUAGAUACCCUGGUA